AAUCGAUAGCGGUGGUGAUGGUGCUCCCCCUCGGAUCUAUGGCGGAGGAUCGUGAAUUAAUUUUGCCGAGGCCUCUAAUUCGCUUGGUGCAGGUCGGGAACUCUCUUCGCCGAUGUGAGUUAAGCAUACUCUGCGGAUCGUACGCGGUACGGAGGUUUGCGAGUAUGCGUGACGGUGUGUUCAUAAUUUGAUGUCGCCGGUUCUUUUUGUCUGGCGAAGAUCAGGUUCCCGCCUUGCAUCAAUUGAAUCGGAGACCGUGGUGAUUCUGAUGUCUGUUAUGCGGUGGCGUUAAUCGAAAAGAUGGAUCUACUGUUUUCUGUUUUUGCAGGGGUGUUAAUUUGCCGCCUUGAGAUGGGGAAUUUACGGAUCUGAGUAUGACUCUGUCAGCGCCUGAUAAUAUGAAUGAUUCCUAUUUACUUCAUUCGCCAACUAUCGAUUUAUCAGUUGUUUCUCGCAUCCUCUCUUUUCUAUCUUACACGAGUAUCUCAUCUUAAUGUUACGAAUAAUUUUUCAGACGUUAGGAAAGUUAUAUCGGCUAAAUUGCUUCGACGUUAAUUGUUGAUUGGCUUCACCAUGUUAUUAUACCUACUGUCUUGGAAACUGAGAGACUCUCACGAGAUCUUGAUGUGUUUUAUGUUACGUGGAUGAUUGGGAGAACUUGGAGAUUUAUAUAGAUUUCGUUUUUAUUAAUUUGUAAGUGUCGAGUCUAGUUUGGUGGUGUGGUUCCCGUUUGUGCAGGAGAUCCAUUAUUCUUGUAAUCCAACAAUAAACAAUUUUCUUUUUCCUGUGGUGUUAGAUUGAAGUUUACAGUUUUCCUUUGACAAACAUGUGUUUCUUUUACUCUAAUCUCAUGUCUUAUUUCCUAUCUCGCUUUGUUUUACUUAUAUUCAGAUGGAGUCAUGGGAGCAUAUCUAUCUUGCUCCCUUCAAAUGAAUAUUUGGUAAUAUGUGGCAUAAGUAUUUGCUUUUAUUCUCAUAUUUGUCACAUAAUUUACUUUCUUGACGUCUAAAUGGUAAGUUGAUAUUUUCUCUUGGAAUCGGUCGGGUUAGUUGCUUCUAUAUGCUUAUCAAUCUACAGAUGGCUACUUCUGUUUGGUUCGAGAGAUAUUCUUUUAAAUUCCAUUACUUUUUUUAUUAUUAAUAGUGUUUAGAAUGACGACAAUUUUGCAAUCAAUAUCUUGAAAAAAAGUUCAAUUCAUAGCACGUGUCAUUUUGCUCGAAUAUCAGAAAUUAAUUGAGGGAUUUGGGUUUAAAACCCAUAGAUCAGAAUAUGGUAACUGCAUCCGUCUUACGUGGCACACUUUGUGAUUUAAUGUAAAAAAGCAGUGUAUUGUAUUGUCUUGAAGAUGGCCUAGACAGUUGUCGAUAAAUUAUUUUGUUUAGAAAGUGGUGUAAAGAAAUCCCAGCCAGUUCCUGCCAACCUAUGUGUGUCUAGUGAGCUGCAUAAAGCACGAACUUGUUCUUUUACGUGUUUUAUUACUCUCAAGCCAUUCAUCUUCAACGUCAAGCUCUUGUUAUUUAUCAGGUGGAACCUCCCGACCAUAGCAGAUACUUGUCUUUUUAUUGUUUCCAUCAAAUCUGCAGGCAUUGCGGAAUGAUGCAGCAUACAGACAAGAAUGUAUGGUGCUAUGUGGUCCUGUUAUCGUAAAUGAAGGUGAAAGGAAGGUAUAAAUGGUCCUGCUACGAUAAGUGACAGAGAAAAUGAGGUAACAAUGGUAGGUGUGUUUCAUAUAACCCUGAAAGUGACUGUUGAUGCAAUUAUAACUCAUGAAAAAUAAGUGAGAGUUUUUCACUCCACAAAUUUCCAAUAUAAUAGGUCCGGUCGUUGCCUUGAUGCAAUCACUUAUAUACAGUGAGAGCAUACUUGUAAAUGUUACUAUUGUAACAAAAAUAUCACAUGAUGCGUUUGAUUUGCCUGCUAGUGAGUUGGCUUUGGGUGUAUAUGAUAUGCCAGCAUUGAAGAAGGUUGCCGACUAUAUGGAGAACCUGCAGUGGGUUUGUUGUUACUAAAAGAGAAUGUGUGUAAUUGUCAGCUGCUAUAUCUAGGAUGAAAUUGCCGGGAAUAUUAGAGGAAACUUCAAUUCCAAUGGUGGAAAAGGUGCUGACCGAUGAUCGGAAGCGUUGGGAGGUUAUGACAAUGGUAAGAUAUACAGGAGGACUUUUCGGGUAAUUAACCAAAUUUUUGGGCAGUGCUUUCACUGGAACUGAACGUGAGGCUACUUACAGGUACUAUUUGAUAUCUUUGGUGAUGUUUUGGAACUGAUGCUGAAUCAUCACCUCUGGAUUUCAUCUGUUCGGCCAUGGUUUAUUUUUUAGGGAACAGUUGUUCUCUUGGUCUUUUGUUUCAAUGUAAAUUUGAGUUGUGUUGUGAUGGGGGAGAUUAAAUGAUUUUUUGUGUAUGGUAUGGAAACAUAAAUAUAAAAAAUACUUUAUUACUUUAGGUUGAA